GACGUAGGGCGCGAGCGUUGUCCGGAUUUAUUGGGCGUAAAGAGCUCGUAGGCGGCUUGUUGCGUCGGCUGUGAAAACCCGCAGCUCAACUCCGAGCUUGCAGUCGAUACGGGCAGGCUAGAGUUCGGCAGGGGAGACUGGAAUUCCUGGUGUAGCGGUGAAAUGCGCAGAUAUCAGGAGGAACACCGGUGGCGAAGGCGGGUCUCUGGGCCGAUACUGACGCUGAGGAGCGAAAGCGUGGGGAGCGAACAGG
rnacentral:rRNA from 1 species